rnacentral:rRNA from 1 species
AUUGAACGCUGGCGGCAGGCUUAACACAUGCAAGUCGAGCGGGGUGAUGGUGCUUGCACUAUCACUUAGCGGCGGACGGGUGAGUAAUGCUUAGGAAUCUGCCUAUUAGUGGGGGACAACAUCUCGAAAGGGAUGCUAAUACCGCAUACGUCCUACGGGAGAAAGCAGGGGAUCACUUGUGACCUUGCGCUAGUAGCUGAGCCUAAGUCGGAUUAGCUAGUUGGUGGGGUAAAGGCCUACCAAGGCGACGAUCUGUAGCGGGUCUGAGAGGAUGAUCCGCCACACUGGGACUGAGACACGGCCCAGACUCCUACGGGAGGCAGCAGUGGGGAAUAUUGGACAAUGGGGGGAACCCUGAUCCAGCCAUGCCGCGUGUGUGAAGAAGGCCUUAUGGUUGUAAAGCACUUUAAGCGAGGAGGAGGCUCUUUUGGUUAAUACCCAAGAUGAGUGGACGUUACUCGCAGAAUAAGCACCGGCUAACUCUGUGCCAGCCGCCGCAGUAA